AUCUAUUUACAUAUAUAUAUAUAUUAAGAAACAUGGGUGUUGAAUCAUUUAAUUCUGAAAGAGCAUGCAGAACAAGGUAAAAUAUUUGGUAUUGUUAAAUACAUUAAAGAAAAUGGAUUAACCAGGAGAAUUUUUACAUAUAUAAACACAUGUAUAUUCGUUGCUUGUUAGUGCUUCACACUCCAGUCCAGUUGGUGGCGGUAAAUGCACCAAAAGUUGGUUUGCCAUUAAACGUUAUUAGAAGAAGAGUAAUGUUCGCACUGCGCUGUUGAAACUGAUCAGCGCUGCACUGUUUGCUGUUUGGUGGCGCCGGUAAACAUCUCUUCGCUGUCGAGUCCGUCACGAGCUGCGCCAAUGACCGAUCAGUGCUGCGAGAACACUUGAACACCGUGCUGUUUCAUCGGUUUCAUCGUACUUUUAGUGUGUUUGGCUUCCCAUAUAUAUAUAUACUGUAUAUAAACUGUGAUGUUAAAACCGAGGUAUAUACCGAACCGUCAGAUUUUUGUACCGUAGCACCCUUAAUGUAUAUAUUCAUGUCCAAUGUGUCCACAGCUAUAAUAGUCACCUAAAAAUCCUGACUUAGUUUUCCUCAGUGAUGUUUGAGAUUUGGCAUUUAAGACUGGAAUAGACAGUGUUGUUUCUGCUCUUCUCUGAGCUCUCUGUUUUUGUGUUGUCUUCAGGGAAUUGCAGCAUGGAAUAGUUCACCUCACUCUCUUGAUCCUUUGAGGGAAAUGACAAAUUUGUUUUCACUUUAUAUUUAUGAUGGUUAUAGCUGAGUACCAUAUGUAAAAUUAAACAAAUUAGAUGUAAUGUAAUACAAGAUUAAUACUGACAUCUGACACAGAGUUUGGUUGAGUAGGGAUAGCCAGAUGAAGCCUUCUGUGAUGUGCUGCAAGAAUCAAAAGUAAUGGGAUAAAGUAAAAUAAUGGUACACGUACAGAAAACAAUUGUACAGAAAUGACUAAACUUCCAAUAAUAUUUGAAUAAAUGGCCACUGCUGAACUCUCUCACUCUCACUCUCACCCUCUCUUUCUCUCUCCCUCUCCCUCAAAAAAAAAAGAUAAUGUAUUCAAUGUCUACAUAACAUUACAAUACUGAUUUUAUUCCGCAUUUUAGGAAACAAAAUGAAAACAACUUAAAUAUUUACUGCACCUGCACACAAUUCACAUUUUUUUUUCCUCAGUCUGUCACAUAGAAUUAUGUUCAUGAUUCCACUGAAGAGUAAAAUCACAAUAUUGCAGACAAACACCACAUGGAAGAGUGCUGAACAAUCUGAAUUAAGCAAAAUAUGAACAUAUAAAUUAUCUUUAUAGAACAAAUGAAAAUAAAUGUACUAUAUUUAUACACACACACACACACUUUGUAUAUAUGUAAUAAUGUGAUGGAUCUGUAAAUUAUCACUUGGUGCAAAAAUGUAAGUUAUCAGUUAGAUAUUUAGCAAGUACUACUUAUAAUGAUUUUAAUAAUAAUAAUAAUAAUAAUAAUAAUAUAACCACUUGGUUUAUAAUUAUUGUUUGGCAUUUUUUAUGUUUAGUUAACCAACAGAAAAUACAUAUACCUAUAAUUGUCAAAAGACUAGCAUUUACAUAAAACAAUAAUAAUAAUAAACAUAUGAAUGCUAUUUAUAGAACAAAUGAGAAAUAAUUUAUAAAUAAAAAUGUGAUGGAUCUAUAAAU
ensembl:lncRNA